GCAUUACUACGCUCAGUGUUAAGAAAAAUAUGGUAUGUUUGAUUAAAUAACAGAGAAAAAAAGCAUUUCAGGAUUGAUGCAGUUAGGAUGAAGAAUUUAUUGUAUAUACAGUAAAGCAAUUCUACUGUAGAUGUACUUCUUGUUUAAAGAAAAUGAAUACAGUAAUCAAAAUCGUUUUAGCAUGGAAACUACAGCACAGACUGAAACUUGACUAAACCAGAAAUCAGUUAUUUGACUUGAAAGAACACAGGACCUGGAACAACAGAUCACAGGUUGCAUCAUUAACCAGGACGGUAAAAAAACUGUACAGUACAAGCAACACAUUACAAUAAGUUAUGACCAAUAAGGCAGUCUCUCUCAUUUAGGACAAAAGGGAUAAAGGGAAAGGUAUUAAAAUCUCAUAAAUCCACCGUAUCUCUUUUCCAUCUCUGGGACCUCUUUGGAAUAAGUUUCCCCAUCUUCUUCAGAAGGGAGAAUGGAAUCGGCGAAGCGCUUGAGAAACCCGCCGUACCGUUUCUGGUAAUCCAGCCACCACUCUGGCCUGCCCACUCUUCUCAUGAAACCACCGUAUCUCUUUUGCAGCUCUUUGGCUUCAUCUUCCAGUUCUGGGCUGCGCUUUACGCUUCUCAUGAAACCGCCGUAUCUUUUGCUGACGUCUCCAUCGUUUUCAUUUACUCCUCGGUAAUGCGCCGCUUCAGGGUUAUCCCCUGCUCCUAAAAGCUCCUUCAGCAGAUCAGAGGAAUUAGCCAGGGCAUCGUCGUCUGAGUCCUUCUUCAUGAAGCCUCCGUACCUCUUAGCCAGGAUCUCUCCUCCAUUAGCUUCAUCCUCUGACUCUGGGUGGUAGAGCUCAUCCAUUUUCUUCAUGAAUCCCCCGUAUCUCUUCAUGAAGCCCCCGUAUUUCUUGGCAAGCAGAUGGUUCUCAUCCAGCUCUUUUUUGUCUCCUGGAGCGGCGUUUCCAUCCUCAGGCAGGUCCAGCUUUGUCAGCUGCAGCAGCUCCUUGCAGGUCUCCCAGGCCUUGGCAGAAGGAAGCUUUCCUUCACAUUCUAGUGUACAUGCCAGCGGGUGGAUGUCGGCGCGGGGCCCCAGGCGGUAGGCGCAGGCCGCGCAGUCCCGCCCGCAGUCCGCCCGCGCCCGCGGCAGCAGGCAGGUGCUGAGCGCCAGCAGCGAGCAGCCGAGCCGCAGCAGCAACGCCAUGGGGACAGCGCUCCCCUCGGGACUCGCGGCGGUCGUUGGGCAGCGCCUCGCUGCUGGAGCCUCGGCGUCGAGCCGCGGGUGUUUGGAGCGGGGCUGAGCAGUCAGCGCCUCCGGAGCAACUCCAGAGGGGGAGGAGGGACGGACGGCCCGCGGCUGCUACCGGCCGAACCGAGCCGCACCGAGCCGAGCGGAGCGGGUGCGAUGUGUGAGGAGCGGGCACUUUAUAAUUAGGGAACGCGGGCAGAGCGCGGCCUCCCCCAAUCGCCGCCGGGCUCCCGCUGACGCAGCACCUACGACAUCCCCCUCCGGCCCCCCCAGCACCGCUGCUCCCCUCUACGGGUGGCUCCGGAGGGGUGGGCGAGCGGCCCGGCCGUCGGGAGAGAGGGCUCCGGGGGAAGCGUGCAGCAUCGGCGAGAAGUGCUCCAGCCCUCUGAUCAUCUUCAUGGCUUCCUCUGGACCUGCUCCAACAGCUCCAUGUCUUCCUUGUGUGUAUAGUUUGAAGACGCUGAAGAACAUGAAGCCUGGCACAAAUGACCCCAAGAAACUUCAGCUGUGUGCAGCUACAAACGUGGUGGUCUGCACUCAUGGUCCUGGUCAAACAGGUGGUUCAGCUCAGCUGGAUCCAGUUUGCUGCUCUCCAAGGGGACCAAGGACAGCACCCUGCCCACUUGGACACCUAGACCUUCUGGCUUGGCUGCACAUCAGCACUUCUAAUUGAAAGAGCCGGGGGUGCUUUUACUACUGUUUUGUUAUUAUAAGAAAGGAAGGUUGUGAGAUUGCCUUAGGUAUUGAAUGAGAUGUAAUUUUCCUAUAUUGUUUUUUUCUAGACUGUUUUCUUAACCUAACCCAGGGUCUCUUUCACUCUCUGUGUUGCUCAGCUACAUGCACGCUGCUGAAUGACUCUGUCCACCAUGCUUCUUCUUCAGAGAGGCCCAGUUUACUUCUGUCCCCCAGCUCAGAAGUGAUUAGGAAAGCCUUUUUACACAACAUGUCUUUGCCAUAGCCCUGUGCAGUGUUCUGUUAGUGCAGGUAUGGGAAAACUUAAGCCUGUAACAGCAAUUAAUUUAAUUUAUAUGUGAACACAUUAAUGGGAUUAGGAAUUCAGGCUUAGGCGUAGUAAAUUGUUAAGCCUCCUAAACUACAACAAUAUCAAGCAUUUAAUAGUGCUGAGGCUGUACCAUUCCCUCCCCUGCAAUGAAAUCCUCCAUUUUCUAUUGCUAUUUUGCAUCUAUUUUGCAUCUAUUUAUUGACGUCAAGUAUGACGCCAAUAACCCAGGUUGAUGGCAGGAAGGAGACUGGCAGUCACACGGACAUAUUCUUGUCAUGUAAUGUGAGCACAUCCACUUCUGAGACAGAUGCCAGUGGUGGCCUCUUACCUCCCACAUCUGGAGGAAUCUCCUCCUGAAAAUCUGUAGUUAGAGAAUUAUUAUGAGACCUUCAGGGUGACUUAUAGAUCAGACUUGGCUUUUAUGGUACCCUUGUAAUUGCAUGGGGAAAGAAAGACUGUGGUGUGGAGCAGGUGGGGGGCCUCUCCAUCUCUGCUCUGCCUGGGGUUCCACAUGCUCUGAGCACCUGUCUAACAUUUGAUUAGCAAUUUUAGGAAAAAGACUUUUAUUUCUAGAAAUCAAGACCAUGCAAACAUUAUCCCUAGAUGAAUGAAAACCAGAUGUCAAGUCAUUGUCCAUUUUUAUUCUGGAUUUCUGCAUAGUUACAGCUGGCACCAGCUGGUGACCGGGGACAGGUGGGCAGACAGGCAGAAGACAACUGCCUGACUGGCUGGGACUGUUCCACCUGGCAGUUCCUGAUGCAACUAGCAGCUGCUGGACACUUGAUACUUCUGUCCCGUGUUUAGGAACAAAGCAAUGGCUGUAUCUGUCUGUUUUGAAACACAAAGCUUGAAAUCCUGGUCUAAGAGAAUAAACGGCACAACUGUUGACAACUGUUGCUCUUUCCAUGACUUUUAUCUCAGAUAGGAAAUGUAUCUCAAAGGACAUCAAUAAAAAGAGGCUCCUAAGGGAGAAUAGAGCUCUUGAAAGCUGUCUAUUUAAAUGAAGUCUUGAUGUCACUGAAGAUUUGUGUGGAAGAAAGGCUUGUGGAAAAGUUUUGAAAGUGUUAACGUUCUCAAUAUAGUCAUUUUUGGAAUAAAACAUUUCAUUUUUUGACUUUGAAAUAAUAGAUUGAGUCAAUUUAAAUAUAUCCUAUAAAAAUUCAUAAGUCAAAAUAAAAAGAAAAUUGAAGGAAAAUAUUUCCAUUGAUCAGAAAUUUGUAUUUGCCUCUAAAAUUUUCCUGUGGAAAAAUUUUUGGCUUUGAAUAUAACUUUGACUUGGAAAUUUCUAAAUCUUCAUGACAGAAGUCUUCUCCAAAGCAUCUAUACCAUUAAGCUGCACAUUUUCAGAAAUACUUACAAAGGCAGCACAGACCUAAGAAGUUGCAGCUUUGCGCGCAGUCAAAAAGCCAGAAUGUAUUUACAGUGGGCAAUUAGGUGUCAGAUAAAGUACUCUGCCAUGUAGCUCUCCUACAAAGCUUGACUGACUGGCAAAUUACUUGUUCUACCAUGUUAAUACAUUUAAAUGAUGACUGUUUAAAUAGAUAAUGUUUAUAUUUUUAAAACUGAAUUACAUGGCAUGAACUGAUCAAAAACGUUUAUCUACAAUUUCCUUCUACGCAUUUAAUUAUUAUUAUUAUUUUAUUAUUGUAAAUUAUAUACUGGGCAUGGUUCCUAGGAAUAAUUGACUUUCGUAGGAAACAAAAUCAGAGGACACAUGAGCAAUACAGACUGUGCAAUCAUUAUAUAGUAGGUAGCAGGAGGAAGGAUUUGCAUGUACCAUACACUCAUUCCAAAUUCACUUAUUUGCUACUUUGAUCAUUAAUAUUUUAGGAGAAAUUUCUUCUCUAAAAGAGUGGUCAGAUGCUGGAAUGGGCUGCCCAGGGAGGUGGUGGAGUCACCAUCCCUGGACCUGCAGAUGUACUAAGGGACAUGCUUUAGUGGGGAAAUAAUGGUGGUAGGUGGAUGGUUGGACUGGAUGAUCUUGGAGGUCUUCUCCAACCUUGGUGAUUCUAUGAUUUAUUCAUGUAUUUAUUUAUUGUAAGACAUCCACACAUUUCAGAUGUUUUCUUAGCCAGUUUAUAUAGUGUCAGGUAAACACUCCAGUAAUGAUUUUAGUAUCAAGUCGGAUCCAAAGGAUAGUAUUUAGUAUUGCACGUAAUCAAUCUUUAAGUAUGCCACAUAUAUAGCAAGUGUCCAUAUUUUUGUGAUUGUAAUCUGUAUUGCUCUGUGAUUUCACUAGCAUCAUGAUUCCUUUGAAUGUAUUUAUGACACCGUUCUCUGUGUCAUGAGUAUUUGUAUUAGUGUAACAUAAUAAAGUCC
rnacentral:lncRNA from 1 species